GAUCCAGCAAUACCGAGUGAGUGAUGAAGGCCCUAGGGUUGUAAAGCUCUUUUAGCAAGGAAGAUAAUGACGUUCUUGCAGAAAAAGCCCCGGCUAACUCCGUGCCAGCAGCCGCGGUAAGACGGAGGGGGCUAGCGUUGUUCGGAAUUACUG
rnacentral:rRNA from 1 species